UCAAGGUGAGCGGCGGACGGGUGAGUAACGCGUGGGAAUCUUCCCUUUUAUGCGGAACAACUCCGGGAAACGGGGGUUAAUACCGCAUACGCCCUUAGGGGGAAAGAUUUAUCGGGGAAGGAUCGGCCCGCGUUGGAUUAGGUAGUUGGUGGGGUAAUGGCCUACCAAGGCGACGAUCCAUAGCUGGUUUGAGAGGAUGAUCAGCCACACUGGGACUGAGACACGGCCCAGACUCCUACGGGAGGCAGCAGUGGGGAAUCUUGGACAAUGGGCGCAAGCCUGAUCCAGCCAUGCCGCGUGAGUGAUGAAGGCCUUAGGGUUGUAAAGCUCUUUCACCGGNGAAGAUAAUGACGG
rnacentral:rRNA from 1 species